GACGAAGGGGGCUAGCGUUGUUCGGAAUUACUGGGCGUAAAGCGAGUGUAGGCGGUUUAUCUAGUCAGGCGUGAAAGCCUUGAGCUCAACUCAAGAAAUGCGCUUGAUACUGGUAGACUCGAGUGCCGGAGAGGAUAGUGGAAUUCCCAGUGUAGUGGUGAAAUACGUAGAGAUUGGGAAGAACACCAGUGGCGAAGGCGGCUAUCUGGACGGUUACUGUCGCUAAGACUCGAAAGCGUGGGGAGCAAACAGG
rnacentral:rRNA from 1 species